AGAAAAAAACCAAACAGCCAAGAUGAGUCAGGUUUCCAGGGAAGGGUAAUGUGGGUCUCAGCCACAGGAAGGGAACCUCGCAGAAGACAAAAGACCAGUGAGAAGGAACCCUGAAGUCUACUUCUUUCAUAAUCCAUUCCUCUUUGCUGUUCCCUGUUCCACAGUUUAGCUGCUGGAUUUGAUGUACGUGACAGAAGAAAGGUCCCACCACCUGCUAACCUCAAGGGCAAAACAACAGACUAACGCUUGACCAGAGCAAAUGUGGCCUUAGAAGACAGGAGCGGACACUCCUCCAGCUGUUGUCGAGACAGAGUCCUAUCUCAGGCCUCAAUUUAUCUGUUUGAAAGAAGUGUGUGAAGAUCUCCAAAGUUAGGCAAUAAGGAGGUUCUGCUUCCAGUAUGGCUGAGUAGCUCCCACUGGACCAAUCACCCCACAGAUAGCAGUGAAGUCUGCACCACAUAGAACAAAGACCUUCAGGUCCUGGACAGCAACCAAAGGCAAGCGUACAAAAGGAGGGCUGAAAUUCAGAAGACUGGAAUGGCACUGGGAAAGUCAACACUUCUGUGAGAAACAUAACAGAAGAUAGAGUCUCUACAAUGUAUUAUUUACAAUACCCAGGAUCCAAUACAAACUACUCUACAUAUCUAGAUACAACAAGAGAGGAGGAAGGAACAGAGACCCACGCCAGUGACUCAGAUGUGGGAACGAGCAGGUAAGGAUUUUAAAGCAGCUAUUUCAACUACGCUCAAAGACACAAUAUUCAUUGGAUGGGCUUAAGAGCAGAUUGGAGAUGGGAGAAGGGUUCGAACUUGUAGACAGAUCAACAGAAAUUAUCCAAUAUGAAGAAAAAAGAGAAAAAGAACCAAAGACAAAUGGGCAGAGCCUCAAAAGCCUGUGGGACAACAUCGAGAGGUUUCGCAUAUGAGUAAUUAGAGCCCCAGAGAGGAGAGAAUGGGGCAGUAACAAAUAUUUACUUGAAGAAUUAAUGCCCCAAAAGUCCCAAAUUUGAUGUAGAAUAAAAAUAUACACAUGCAAGUUUAGCAAACCCCAAGCAGCACAAAUACAACAAAAACCAAAUGUAGGUACACUGCAGUUAAACCACUGAAAAAAAAAGGGCCAGCCCUGGUGGCCUAGUGGUUAAGUUGAGCGUGCUCCACUUUGGUGGCCCGGGUUUGGAUCCGUGGCACGGACCUACACCACUUGUCUGUUAGCAGGCAUGCUGUGGUGGUGGCUCAUAUAAAAAAUAAAAAAAGAUUGGCAAUGGAUCUUAGCUCAGGGCAAAUCUUCCUCAGCAAAAAAAAAAAAAAAAAAAAAAGAAGAAGAAGACGACGACGACGAUGACACAUUACAUUACAUGCAGGGGGAUAAUGAUUCCAAUGACCACUGACUUGUCAUCAGAAACAAUGGAGGCCGGAAGACAGAAGAUGAUCAUCAUUAGAGUGCUGAAACAAAAAUCCGGUGAACCUUGAAUUCUACAUCCAGGGGCAAUAUCCUUCAGUAAUAAAAACAACUCCAGAAUUGAUCAAGAACACUCAAAACUCAAAAGAAAUCAAACAACCCAAUAACAAAGCAGACAAAAGAUUUGAAUAAAGACUUCACUAAAAAAAGGAUAUGGAUGGCAAAUAAGCACAUGAAAAGCUGCAACAUCUUAGACAUUUAGGGAAAUACGAAUCACGCUAAUCUUCCUCAAAAAAACAAAAACAAAAACAAAGAAAAAACCCCAAAAAAACCAAUAAAUUUUACUUUAAUAGACCUGAAUUUAAAAAUUACAGCAAUGACAGCAGCUUAGUUCUGGAGCAGGAAGGCCCAUAACUGAAAUACUUUUGGUUAAUAUAAAAUAGAAAUAAAAUAACGCAUAUAGAUAAAAUAAACUAAUACAAUAUAAGAGCAGAAUAAAGGAAAAAUAAAGACAUUUUCUUGAUAAAGAAUACUAAGAGGUCUUCACUAGCAGACCUACACCAUAUGAAAGUUUUUAGGCCAAAGAAACCAAUACCAGAAAGGAAUUCAGGAUUUUUAGGAAUAAGGAACCUUGGAAAAGGUUUAAAAAAAAAAAAGUGAGUAACUACAGACUUUUCUCUCCUUAAGUUCUUUAACAUGACAAUUUAAAGCUGAAAUUAUAACACUUGUGGGGAUUAUAACAUAUGCAGAUGUAAUAAAUCAUGACAACUACAGCAUAAAGGACACGGUGAGGGGAAACUGGGUCUAGAUAUUCCUGAGGUUCUUUCAUUUUACAUGAAGUGGUACAAUAUUAAGCCUAAAUAGAUGAUGAAAGGUUAAGAAUGUGUGUUGUAAUCUCUAGAGCAACCACUGAAAAAAAA